UACGUAGGGUGCGAGCGUUAAUCGGAAUUACUGGGCGUAAAGCGUGCGCAGGCGGUUGGUUAAGUCAGAUGUGAAAGCCCCGGGCUCAACCUGGGAAUUGCAUUUGAAACUGGCCAACUAGAGUACGUGAGAGGGGGGUAGAAUUCCAAGUGUAGCGGUGAAAUGCGUAGAGAUUUGGAGGAAUACCAGUGGCGAAGGCGGCCCCCUGGGAUAACACUGACGCUCAUGCACGAAAGCGUGGGGAGCAAACAGG
rnacentral:rRNA from 1 species